rnacentral:lncRNA from 10 species
CCAAAAUCCACUACACACCCCUCUGUCUCUGAGUAGCACCAGCAAAUGUUUCCUCCACCAAGCCUCAAAAGUUCGUGACAGUGCCUGACCAACUUGUGUUCAGCCGCACCUUACUCAUCUCUGUCCCAGAACAGUUUAUUUUCCCACCACCAUGCCCUCACUCAAACUGUUGUUUCCUUGCUGGUGACAUUGCAGGCUUCAGAGAACUGGGGCAGCCGGGGCAGCUGAGGAAUAAGAGCCAGGAGGCUAGUGGCAGAGGAAGGGACAGUUGCAGAGAAUUUCUCCGGGGGACCCUGUGGGGUGCCCUUUUACCAGCUCACUGCCUCAGAAUAAUUAAUAACAGCCUCAGGCCAGCUCUUUCACUCCCUUGCAAAGGUCUGCUCCAGGAUAUCUGAAGCACAUACUCUCAAUUACAGAAUCCCAGAAUAUAUCUAAGAAGUGCUAUCGUUUUAAAAAGACCUACUACAAGGUGUGUCUUCUCUACAAGGCGGUGAGCUCCUUGAAGAUGGACCAAGUUGGAUCCAUCUCUGUCCUCAGGGUCCAGCACAGGCUGGAACCUGGCCAGACCAUACCAUACAUGUUAUCUUCAAGCUGCAUAGAUUAAGGGCACAUUAGCCAAUUGGAGCCUAUGGAGAUGAGGGCAGUGGUGUGGGGUCUGGAAGCCAUGAAGAACAUAAGAAUAAGGAAUGUUUAACUUGAAGUAGAGACCACUUCUGAGACAAUCCAUUCUCUGAUUCCACAGACUGUUUCUGGGUGCCUCCUCUGUGGGAGGCCCGGGACUGGGGGCUGAAAAGGCCAUGGAUGACACAGCUAUAGUCCCUGCCUGGGGAGCUCACAGUCUGGUUGGGAUCGGGCAUGGAAACAAGGAACUAUAAUAGAGUGUGGUCAGUACCACUAGAAAGGGAUGUAGGGCAUGGCCAGGGAAGUCCUCUUAGUGCAGGGGGGCAGAAUUAUGACAAUGUUGGUGGCACAUUUUAGCUUUGAGGAGUAACUUUCUAACAAUCAGAACUGUGCAAGAAUGGAAGGCUGCCUCAGGAGGCAGUAAGUGUUCUGUGUCUGGAGGUGUGUGAGCAGGGCUGGGACAACCACUUAACAGACUGGAUAUAUAUUUUUUUCUUUUUUAUCAUUUUAUUUUCAAAUUGUCUAUGUCUUUUAAUGUUAAAGUACGUUUUUUGAUAAUAACAUAUAAUUGCUUGCAUUUAUAAAAGGUCAGCAAAUGCUGCCUUUUCAUGAGAGUAUUUAAUCCAUUUACAUUAAAUUAGUGUUUCAUGUUUGGAUUUAUCUGUCAUGGUGUUUGAUUUCUAUUUCUGUUUUCAGAUUUUCAUUUCUCUACCUUUAGUUGGAAAAUUAUUCUUAUUCAAUUUUAUCUCCUAUGUGAAUUAUCAUUAUUAAUUUAAUUUGUGUCACCGCUAUUGAAUUUCUGCUUAUGUCCAUUUGACUUAUUUUUGGUGGUUGCUGUAUAGAUGCAUACGCAUCUUCUUUUUAUCAUAGCCUGCCUGCCAAAAAUACUCUAGUACUUACGAAUAUAAGAAUUUUGGCAGGGCAUGGUACCUCAUGCCUGCAAUCCCAGCACUUUGGGAGGCCAAGGCAGGCGGAUCACGAGGUCAGGAGUUUGAGGCCAGCCUGGCCAAUAUGGUGAAACCCCUUCUCUACUAAAACUACAAAAAUUAGCUGGGUGUGGUGGCAUGCACCUGUAGUCCCAGCUACGUUGGAGACUGAGACAAAAGAAUCACUUGAACCAAGGAGGUAGAGGUUGCAGUGAGCUGAGAUCACACCACUGCACACAAGCCUGGGCGACAGAGUGAGACUCCUUAAAAAAAAAAAAAAAAAAAAAGAAUCUUAAAACUGUAUACUUACUUCUUUUUUUUUUUUUUUUCCUGAGACAGAGUUUUGCUCUGUCACCCAGGCUGUAGUGCAAUGGCGCAAUCUCAGCUCACUACAACCUCUACCUCCUG